rnacentral:tmRNA from 1 species
GGGGCUGACUUGGAUUUCGACAGAUUUCUUGUCGCACAGAUAGCAUGCCAAGUGCUGCUUGUAAAACAGCAACAAAAAUAACUGUAAACAACACAGAUUACGCUCCAGCUUACGCUAAAGCUGCGUGAGUUAAUCUCCUUUUGGAGCUGGACUGAUUGAAAUUUCUAGCGUUUUAAUCACUCCAUAACCUUAAGCUAGACGCUUUUAAAAGGUGGUUCGCCUUUUAAACUAAGAAACAAGAACUCUUGAAACUACCUCAAGGUUUUAGAAAGUUGGACCAGAGCUAGUUUUAAGGCUAAAAAAUUAACCAAUUUUCUAAGCAUUGUAGAAGUUUGUGUUUAGGACAAGAUUUUUGGACUGGGGUUCGAUUCCCCACAGCUCCACCA